GCCCCGCUAGCUCAAUCGGUAGAGCGUGAGACUUUUACGAACUAAAGCCUGUUGAAGCAGGUGAACUACCGUAUUUGCAAUGAUUAUUUACGGGAUCUCAAGGCUGCGGGUUCGAGCCCCGCGUGGGGCU